rnacentral:rRNA from 1 species
GACCAAGGAGUCUAACACGUGCGCGAGUCACGGGGUCUUGUUCAGGCCCAGAGGCGCAAUGAAAGUGAAACGCCCGCUUCGCGCGGUGCGGUGUCGGGACUCGCCCUCCCUCGGGAGGCCGCGAAGCACCGACGACCCGUCCCGUCCGACUCGUCGGUGGGGCGGAGUCCGAGCGUACGCGUUGGGACCCGAAAGAUGGUGAACUAUGCCUGGGCAGGACGAAGCCAGAGGAAACUCUGGUGGAGGUCCGUAGCGGUUCUGACGUGCAAAUCGAUCGUCAGACCCGGGUAUAGGGGCGAAAGACUAAUCGAACCUUCUAGUAGCUGGUUCCCUCCGAAGUUUCCCUCAGGAUAGCUGGCGCUCGGAGGAAUCAGUCUCAUCCGGUAAAGCGAAUGAUUAGAGGCCUUGGGGCCGAAACGACCUCAACCUAUUCUCAAACUUUAAAUGGGUGAGAAGUCCGGCUUGCAUGACCGAAGCUCGGACGUUGUUG